rnacentral:tRNA from 1 species
GGAUAGCUCAGUUGGUUAGAGCGUGGUGCUGAUAACACCAAGGUUGCAGGUUCAAUCCCCAUGUGAUGGCCU